AAUGCCGGUAUGAGUAACGAAAGACGGGUGAGAAUCCCGUCCACCGAAUGCCUAAGGUUUCCUGAGGAAGGCUCGUCCGCUCAGGGUUAGUCGGGACCUAAGUCGAGGCCGAUAGGCGUAGACGAUGGACAACAGGUUGAUAUUCCUGUACCACCUCCCCGCCGUUUGAGCAAUGGGGGGACGCAGAAGGAUAGGGUGAGCGUGCCGUUGGUUGUGCACGUCCAAGUUGUGAGAUGAGAAACGAGGCAAAUCCCGUUUCUAGAUACAUCAAGCAGUGAUGGCAAGAGGUUUACCUCAGAGUCCCUGAUUUCACACUGCCAAGAAAAGCCUCUAGCGAGGCGGGAGGUGCCCGUACCGCAAACCGACACAGGUAGGCGAGAAGAGAAUUCUAAGGUGAGCGAGUGAACUCUCGUUAAGGAACUCGGCAAAAUGACCCCGUAACUUCGGGAGAAGGGGUGCUCUGGUAGGGUGAAUAGCCCGAGAGAGCCGCAGUGAAUAGGCCCAGGCGACUGUUUAGCA
rnacentral:rRNA from 1 species